UACGAAGGGGGCUAGCGUUGCCCAGAAUUACUGGGCGUAAAGGGCGCGUAGGCGGCCCUGUUAGUCAGGCGUGAAAUUCCUGGGCUCAACCUGGGGACUGCGCUUGAUACGGCAGAGCUUGAGGAUGGAAGAGGGUCGCGGAAUUCCCAGUGUAGAGGUGAAAUUCGUAGAUAUUGGGAAGAACACCGGUGGCGAAGGCGGCGACCUGGGCCAUUACUGACGCUGAGGCGCGACAGCGUGGGGAGCAAACAGG
rnacentral:rRNA from 1 species